rnacentral:lncRNA from 1 species
UUUUUUGAAAAGGAGCUGUCCUUAUAUCUGUAUGACAAUGUCAUUCUCAGCACAAAGCUCUUGUUAUCUCAUGCACGAAAGGCAAACAGCCAAACAGGGCCAGCUUUUCAUUAAAGCCAUCAAGCAGAACACAGAACUACAGAUAGCAUUACCAUCUACCACUACUGCUAAUUUUUACUCUCCUUUGUGCAUACCCUAAUUUCAACCUCUGGGUCUGGUCAUUGAUCCUUCCAGAACUGCAGGAAGAAAACCAUUUUGUGUCAGUAAGAUGUGAGUACUUUCGGUUGUGAGACACAACCACAUGAACCGUAUGAACCUCACUACGUCAUGUGAGCAGCACUAAACGUACGAGAUGGCCGCACCCAUCAACAGGUGCCGACCAAUGCUUAAUGUCUGCAGGCGCUGCCUCGUAGAUAGUCAUGUUCCUUCUUUGCCAGCCUUGGAGCAUUCAUCCAUCCUCCCUCCCUCUCUCCCCGGAUGCGUAUGUCGGUUUCACCACAUGGACAGA